rnacentral:misc_RNA from 1 species
UUUUCAUCGGAGGGUUCAUUACGUAGAACUUCUGGCGCCAUCCAUUGAGGCGUUCCCUUCCCAGUCAUAGUUGUCAGGUAAGUUUCAUGCUUUAGACGUGAUAGACCAAAAUCACCAACCUUAACAGUCCAGUUCUUAUCAACCAGAAGAUUUGAAGACUUCAAAUCACGAUGAAUGAUGGGUGGAUUGCAAUGAUGAAGAUAAUUCAUACCCCGUGCUAUAUCUGACGCCAUAUGGACACGUCGCCUCCAAUCCAGUUUGGUUGUGUUCCUCUGGAGUAAGCGAAACAAACUUCCACGUGGAAGGAACUCUGUAACAAUGCAGAGACGCUGACACGAAGUGACAGCACCCAUGAAAAGCAAUAUAUUUGGAUGUCGAAGUCUUUUCAUAAGAGACACCUCUUGUCUAAAUGAAAGUAUAACAUCUUCUGAAUAUUCUUGCUUGGAGAAUACCUUAACAGCAACAUCCUGAAAUAAAAUGGAUAUCACUCAACCAACACAAUUAAUUAUCAAUCAUCAUAAUAUUUUUGUGCUCUUUUCCUGUUCCAUCAAAUACAAAAUAAAAUUAUAGGUUGAUUAGGAUCCUAGCCAGCAGUGCAACAUCAUUUUUGUAAAAAGAAAAAUAAAGCAGAGUCCACAUAUACCAUUCAUAGACAAAAACAAAGGUAUAUGUUAUUAGCAUGCCAAACUGACUAGGCAACUUAGAAGUAGAACAUUAGUGAGGUGUUAUAUUGUCACAAUUCAAGUUUCUUCAAGUCCAUAAUAUCCAUUAUCUACAGAUGAAAAACCAUAGAUUUGGUAAGAUGGAAGCCAAAAUGCUGCAUCUGAUCUCAAAUUACUUAAAUCUGGCUCCAUGUAAAUAGUGUUUAUGCAUUCUCUUGGAAUAAAACUGUUAUAAGCAAAAGCAAAGAACAUACUGAUCCAUACCACAGGGCAUGAUAUACCGUCCCACAAGAACCUUGCCCAAUUUGUUCUCCAAUUUUCAAGUCUUCCCACAAAAUUUCAUAAUCCAAGCAGUCAGAGUCAAUGUCUAUCUUAUUAAUAGCACUACUGCUGGUACUUCCACAGCUGCUUGCACUGCUUGUGCUGUUAACAUUAACUGAGGACCAGGACCCAGAGGCCUCAUUAUUGGUAGGCCGAUUACUUUCAUUUGCCUGGCUUUCAGGUUUUGCACCUGAAGCAGGGCUCCUCAGAUGAACUGUUUCACUCUCUUGAUCAUUUUGCAACCAGGGCCACAUAACGCGGGUGCUCCUUGUAUCUGAGCCUUCGCUUUCAUUUCCUCUCCAGGGCCAUGACAAUCCUUUCUUGCCUAUCCAAGCCUCGGCUUUUGAGGAUAUAAUCUUGUGAACUGCAGAUUUUCCUUCGCUAUCAUCACCAGAAUCUCUAGAGAGUUUUGUUGGGGACCUGUCCUCAACAUGAGAAAAUGUACCAAAAUGAGACAGAUGCAGAUCUCCUCUGGGUGUGCUAGCUCCACUUGAGUUAGCAUCCUCCCUAAGGUCAGAGAAAGCUGCAUCUGAGAAGCCACGGUCAGAUUGAUGACUAUCGCCACUCUCACCUUCACGAUCCAGGCUAUUAUCUCCCGUCCGCAUUUUCGACUUCACCUUGUUGCUCACCUUGGAUGCCAAAUUUGAUAUCUUAGAUGCAAUUGCUGCUUGCAGAGGCUGUUGAGAAUCAAGACCAAGUUUUGUUGUGACCAUACUUCUAGGCCGACUAAAGCUUGAAUCUACUUCUGAAUUCUUUGAAUCUGCCAUUGCAACCCUCAUUUCUUGAAACGGCCUUGAAUCAUUUGACACACAGAUAAUCCCGACCACAGUACCAUCAUCAUCAAAGAAUGGAGUAUUGGUGGCAACAGCUGCAAAUCUCUCUCCCAUCUUGUUCUUGACUGGAAACUGCCCUGUCCACCUCUCCCCCAUGGUGACACGAUGCACUAUAUUAUUUGCCACCGGAAAUUCCUGAGGAUCUACAAGUAGCUCAAUGGCAUCCUGUCCAAGAGCCUCUGCCGCAGAAUAGCCAUAAAGGAUUUCAGCCGUUCGGUUCCUGCAGUAUCAGAUAACAACUAAUACACCAAAUUCGACACAUCAAUGAUAUUGAAACCAACCUCUACACAUAAUUAAAGCCAAAAACCAUUCAGUCAACACUAAAUUGACAAUAAAACUCCAAGUCAAAGCUUUUGUCUUUCUCAUUUAUACCAAGAAAAUUUAUAAUGCCAGUACCCUAGCAGUCAACCACCAGCAAUCUACAGUUUCAUCCAACAUUAAUAACAAAUACCCAUCCGAACAUUCCAUAAUAACAUCUCCCUUUCCCAACCAAUCAAACAAAAAUUGAAAAAUGAUUAAUACCAACAAAACCUGCAAAACAAGAAAAAAAAAAAUCAUAUAAAUCAGAAACUCACCAAUAAAUGAUACGACCACUAAGAUCAAAAAUAUGAAUAGACUGCCCCAUAGACUGCAACAUAUUCAAAUAUUGCUUAUCAGUAAACUUGACAGCCGAUGGCCCGCAGUUUGCUCCUUUAGCGGCAUUAGUACUAUCAGUACUACUCGUACUCCGGCUUUCUCUCCGCAACGGCGACGAAUGCCUAAAAGACGUCGAACCCUUCUUCCAAGAUGCAACCGUCUCGAAACCCGACCCCGCCCCGACGCCGCACCUUCUCCUAGGUCCCGUCCUCUGCGGCGAUAUGGAAUGGGAGCGCUGGUGCGACUGCUGCUGCCGGUGCGGCAAGUACUGCUCCGAUUUUGAAUCGCUAGUGAGCUUAAGCUUAGACAUCUCCUGCUUUAGGCGUGCUUGCUCUGCUUCCAGCUUCUGGAUCUUCCUCAGCAGCUCCUCCGCUGGCGGAGUCUCCAUUUCCAGAAUCCAAAAUCAAACACAAACCCACUACCUCUCUCUAUAUAGCUGAUAUGAUAAUGGUUUUUGAAGUUGAAAUGGAUAAGGAUAUAGAGAUUCAGUCUAGUCUUAUUAAUGUCAAGCAAAGAAAAAGAAAGAGCUAAAUAUGGAUUUGAAAUUGAUAUCACAAUUCACACACACCAGAAGUACUCUCUUCUCUUCUUUCUCUGACUUGAUCUUUCUUCUCUUUCAUCAUUUCUUUUGAAGAAUUAUACAGAGAUGGAAACUUUUUGUUCUCUAAAAUUUAUUCUAUCAUCAUCAGCUUCUUUUCUCUUCUCUUUUAAUUAGGCUGCUAUUAUAAAAUUAUAAAAAAAAA